UGUAAAACGUGGCAGGCAACUGUUUCAGUGUGUAUGUGUGGGUUAGUGUGCAAGUGCCCAAGCUGUGAUAACUUUGUAGUGCAGGAUGCUAAUCUGCGCUUCAGAGAGGGACGCAGGAAUUUAAGGUGAACUGUCUGUGGUGUAUCUAAUCGAGGGCGAAGCUCCCGCACGCUGCUCUGUGUUAGCGUGAGCAUGCGAGUCGUUAAUCACCUGGACACCUGGAGAGCUCGGCUUCGACUUCAAGCGUCAAAGGGGAGCAAGGAAUUCACACCAGAAGCGAAUACACAGCACAGAAACACUGGGAGGUGUCAGUUCAUGGAUCUGCAUGCAGUUCUUCUGAUGGGUGUUGGGGAAGUGUUCUCAACACCAUCCAUCCAGUGAUUCUGAGGGACGAACUGGAGGGGAUGGGCAGGGACCACCAGCUGUCUGAAUGGAUCCUGGACUACCUCAUGAACCGACCUCAGUUUGUGAGAGCCAGGAACUGUGUGUCUGACCUGCUCACCAGCAACACGGGUGCCCCCCAGGGAACUGUCCUGGCCCCCUUUCUUUUUACCCUGUAGACAGCAGACUUCAGACACAACACCAAUGGAGGUGAAGACGUGGAGUACGGAGAUCUGACUCAGAACUUUGUUCACUGGUGUAAUUGAAACCACCUACUGAUCAACGCGGGGAAAACCAAGGAGAUGGUGGUAGAUUUUCACAGACUCCAGACCCACACCACCACCACCACCCCACCAUGGACAUCCAGGGAAUAGACACUGAGCAUGUGGACUCUGAUAAGCACCUUUGUGUUCACCUUAACAACAAGAUAGACUGGACUCAUCACACCUUUUGGAGCGAUAUGUGCAAUAUUAUUACUCCUCAAGGUUGAACACUCACCAUUCACUACUUACUGUCUACUGUCUACGACUCUGUGUAAUAUCUGACAAUCAUUAUCUGUACAGUUCAAUGCUGCCAUUACUUAGAUAUUGUUUAUUCUGUUUUGUCUUAUUAUUUAUCCUUUAUACAGUCCACUCUUUAGUCUCUACGUAUGUCUUUUAUUUCUAUACUAUCUAUUACUUAGCUCCACUAUGGAAAACAGAAAAAUAAGCCAUUCUUUUGUGAGCCAUUCAUUUUCUAUGAACUGGUAUGAUCAGCAGCUCCUCUGAAUGUUUUACAUAAUUGCAAAAUCCCAUUUCUGCUGUGUUUAAUAUUUGCCACGUUUUGUUAUAUUGGCACGUCGCUCGAACACAGUGAAAAGCACAAAAAGCAGAAAUUGUCAGACUUGUUUUAAAUGGAUAAUGAAAUGGGUACAAAGGAAGCGUUUCCUUCUGUUCAGGGGCUCCCAGGUCCACAUUCCAAUGUAAAGUCUCAAUCGUUUUGUCGUGACAUAAAACCAGCCACUGAAGCAGCAAAAUGGUCAGAGGUAGGGACUGCAGAUAACAGGGUAAAACAGUGUUUCAAGUUACCUUAAAUAACCCAGGGAUGUGACUAUGAACGCACUGAUCCAGAAAUAAAUUGUUCCUUGCAUGCAA